UACGUAGGGUGCGAGCGUUAAUCGGAAUUACUGGGCGUAAAGCGUGCGCAGGCGGUUUGUUAAGCCAGAUGUGAAAGCCCCGGGCUCAACCUGGGAACUGCGUUUGGUACUGGCAAGCUAGAGUACGGCAGAGGGGGGUGGAAUUCCACGGGUAGCAGUGAAAUGCGUAGAGAUGUGGAGGAAUACCGAUGGCGAAGGCAGCCCCCUGGGCUAACACUGACGCUCAUGCACGAAAGCGUGGGGAGCAAACAGG
rnacentral:rRNA from 1 species